CAUCUUCUUCUUUCUUCUUGGUUGGCCGAAAAACACACUCUCUCUCCGUAGCCAAACUUUCCCUUCCUUCUUUUGCAUGAUUUAAGAGAAAUUAGAAGCUGUUACUCUUGAAUUAAAUGUUGAGAAAGUGUUUCUCAUCACUUCUAUACACUUAAAACCUAGAAAAAUCAAAACUUCCAUUCUUCCAAUCUUGGCCGAACCUAAAGGAAGAGCAAGAGAGGGUUUUAGUUGAUUCAAGAGAGCUUUGAUCACUUUUCUUGUGUGGACAAGAUAGAGGACCAAUAAUUAGUUGUCUCUACUCCCCAAAUUUAGUGUUGAAUUUGAUUCUGUGCCUAAGGGGUAAAUUUCCCUAAACUUUACUUUGUUAAAUUUGGGGCUUUUGUUUCCUAAUGGCAAUUAGACAUAUUAGCAAAUGAAACAUAAUUUGUUAUAACUAAAUUAUGUGUUUUACAAUGGUAUAAGUGGUUUUUAUGAUGCAUGAAACCCUAGGUGUGAAAAAUUUUAAAAUUGCUAACUUUGCACCAUCAGAUGCAUUUUUCUUUCAAUGGCAUCCCUUUUUAUUGGAGCAUAUGCUUAUAUUGAUCACACUGAUGGUUUUGGGAUGACUUUGAUGGAUAUUAAGUUGAAAGUCUGGUCUGAAAUAGUUUUAGAGGUUUGUCUGUUAUAUGUUUGGAUUUAUGCUUUAUGGUUGCUGAUGGUAAUCUUUUCAGAUUUAGUUGUUAUGGUUUUUAUCAAGCUAGAUUUUGUCAAAGUGUAGGCCACUGCACCAAAUUUGAAGGAAAAAAUUGGAAAAUUGGCCGUUGCCUAUGAUGUUGCCAGUCAUAUUGCUCCCUAUUUUUCAGAGAGGUAUAAAUUUAAUAAAAAAUUGUUUGGCUAUUCAGUGGCACGAAGGCAAUCCCAAUAGUUUAGCAGAUAUUCGUCAUGCUAUGCUGAUAAAUCCUGGGAAGUCUUCAACAAAUUUCUAGAGCAAACUCCUCCUCUUAAUGGUUUGUCUACAUACUUUAUUGGUUAUACUCUUUCUUGAUAGGAUCUAUUUCUGUUUGCUGUCAACUUAUUCUAGAUUCUGUGAUAGAUGGGAAGAUCGGCUUCUACUACAAGGACCAUGAAAUUCUUCCUCCUCUUCCAGGAUAGUUCUUGGAUAUUUUACCUUACUAUAUUUAGUAGUUUCUUUCUCCAUGGUGAGUAUUGAGGUCAAACAUUUGCAUUUGUAUUACAUUGACUUUAUGAUUUUCAAUUCUUUCCGUGUGUGUUCUCUGCCUUUAUUUCUCCACUGCAACAUAUACAUAUGGCACUGAAACUCAUCAUUUAAUGGUAAAAUCCUUGCGUUUAUUUUGUACUUUUUUCAUAUAAAAGGAGCCUCUUAUGAAAAAUGGAGGCUUCAAACAUAUAUUCAUGAACAAAAAAUAGGAAAAUAAAUUCCACAAUAGAAAUUCUGCAGUAAGCAGAAUAUGGUAAAUAGAAAUCUAACAGUAAUUUGUAAAAAUAUAAGAGAGAGAGAGAUUGGAUUUUUAACAUUCAUAAGACAUAACAAAAGCUUAACAUUAAGAAACAAAAAAGAGAGUAGAGAUGGAAUGAAAAACACAAUUUCAUUAAUAAAAAAGAAGCAUACAAAAACAAGUGCUGGAUUUUUUUUUUUCUUUCUUUUCUUCCUCAUUUUCUUCUCUCUCUCAAACUCAAUUUCAACUCUGUUACAAAACACACUCAGCUUUAACAUUUUCACAGCAGAUGCUUCCUUUUUAUAGGCAAAGAAUGCCUUUAACUAGUCAAUAAAGCCCAUACUUAUACCAUGCUUAGGCAUGGCUAUGUUGCUUUUCUUAUAGACAAACUAAAAUCUCAACAACUUCCAACAGCCUCAAAUUAAAUAACAGUUGUUUUUGCAGCCAGUUGGUGUCCACCACUAUAACUCCAAAAUUUUAUGGGAGACAGUCGAGAGGGAAUGAAUGAACAGGAGGCACAAGAAUUUGAUCCUACUCCUUAGGUUGCUACUUAAAAGGGUAAUAGCAAACAUUACAUAUGCAGAAGUAGUACUACAAGACUUUUCAUAAGGAAUUUUCAUUUUUAGGUCCAAGCAUUGAUUGAGAGCCAACUUCUCUUAAUGCAUGCUCAUGUAGAAAGAGUUGGCAUGCCCUCCCCUCCAAUACGCAUAAUAGCCACUGAUAGAGCAUCAACAAAUCCUAGCAUUUUGAAUUCAGUAGCAUCAAAGACCUGGUAUGAGAAUUGAUUCUAUGUCCCUAGGAGCUGCAUUGAAAGCAGCUUACUGUUGGCUGUGCAAUUAAAAGGGUAGUUUUUACCAAUUGCAUAGUUGCACAAGGACAAGUUGGAGAAGUCAACUCUCAGCUGCAAGCUUUCAGUUAGUGCUGGGAACCAAGAAUUAGCUUCUAAAUAUGCUUUAUUGAUGAAGAAGAGAAUGGAAAUAGAAAGUCGCUAAGUCUAAAAGUAGGGAUAGUGCUGAAGUAGGGGAAGGAGUGCCACAAAGAGUUAUAGCACAUUGUCCUUGAAAAUUAACAAUAAGAAGGAUUUGAUUCUUACAAGUUUUAAAAUUUUUAUAUUUGAAAUUGAAAAGAAAUUAAGUACUGAGAA